rnacentral:snRNA from 1 species
UUCGUGUCAGCUGGAGUUG